GAAUAUUGGUCAAUGGGCGCAAGCCUGAACUAGCCAUCCCGCGUGCAGGAUGACGGCCCUAUGGGUUGUAAACUGCUUUUAUACACCAAGAAAAACCCCGACGUGUCGGGACUCGACGGUAGUGUAUGAAUAAGCAUCGGCUAACUCCGUGCCAGCAGCCGCGGUAAUACGGAGGAUGCAAGCGUUAUCCGGAUUCCUUGGGUUUAAGGGUGCCUAGGCGGCUUUUUAAGUCAGUGGUGAAAUCCUGCCGCUUAACGGUAGAAUUGCCAUUGAUACUGAAGAGCUUGAGUACAGUUGAGGUAAGCGGAAUGUGUAGUGUAGCGGUGAAAUGCUUAGAUAUUACACAGAACACCAAUUGCGAAGGCAGCUUACUAAAC
rnacentral:rRNA from 1 species